AUACGUAGGGAGCGAGCGUUGUCCGGAAUUACUGGGUGUAAAGGGAGCGUAGGCGGGGUCUUAAGUCCGUUGUGAAAUCUAUCGGCUCAACCGGUAGCUGCGGCGGAAACUGGGACUCUUGAGUGAAGUAGAGGCAGGCGGAAUUCCUAGUGUAGCGGUGAAAUGCGUAGAUAUUAGGAGGAACACCAGUGGCGAAGGCGGCCUGCUGGGCUUUUACUGACGCUGAGGCUCGAAAGUGUGGGGAGGC
rnacentral:rRNA from 1 species